GGGGGGACGGAGAAGGCUAUGUUGGCCGGGCGACGGUUGUCCCGGUUUAAGCGUGUAGGCUGGUUUUCCAGGCAAAUCCGGAAAACCAAGGCUGAGGCGUGAUGACGAGGCACUACGGUGCUGAAGCGACAAAUGCCCUGCUUCCAGGAAAAGCCUCUAAGCAUCAGGUAACAUCAAAUCGUACCCCAAACCGACACAGGUGGUCAGGUAGAGAAUACCAAGGCGCUUGAGAGAACUCGGGUGAAGGAACUAGGCAAAAUGGUGCCGUAACUUCGGGAGAAGGCACGCUGAUAUGUAGGUGAAGCGACUUGCUCGUGGAGCUGAAAUCAGUCGAAGAUACCAGCUGGCUGCAACUGUUUAUUAAAAACACAGCACUGUGCAAACACGAAAGUGGACGUAUACGGUGUGACGCCUGCCCGGUGCCGGAAGGUUAAUUGAUGGGGUUAGCGGUAACGCGAAGCUCUUGAUCGAAGCCCCGGUAAACGGCGGCCGUAACUAUAACGGUCCUAAGGUAGCGAAAUUCCUUGUCGGGUAAGUUCCGACCUGCACGAAUGGCGUAAUGAUGGCCAGGCUGUCUCCACCCGAGACUCAGUGAAAUUGAACUCGCUGUGAAGAUGCAGUGUACCCGCGGCAAGACGGAAAGACCCCGUGAACCUUUACUAUAGCUUGACACUGAACAUUGAGCCUUGAUGUGUAGGAUAGGUGGGAGGCUUUGAAGUGUGGACGCCAGUCUGCAUGGAGCCGACCUUGAAAUACCACCCUUUAAUGUUUGAUGUUCUAACGUGGGCCCCUAAUCGGGGUUGCGGACAGUGUCUGGUGGGUAGUUUGACUGGGGCGGUCUCCUCCUAAAGAGUAACGGAGGAGCACGAAGGUUGGCUAAUCCUGGUCGGACAUCAGGAGGUUAGUGCAAUGGCAUAAGCCAGCUUGACUGCGAGCGUGACGGCGCGAGCAGGUGCGAAAGCAGGUCAUAGUGAUCCGGUGGUUCUGAAUGGAAGGGCCAUCGCUCAACGGAUAAAAGGUACUCCGGGGAUAACAGGCUGAUACCGCCCAAGAGUUCAUAUCGACGGCGGUGUUUGGCACCUCGAUGUCGGCUCAUCACAUCCUGGGGCUGAAGUAGGUCCCAAGGGUAUGGCUGUUCGCCAUUUAAAGUGGUACGCGAGCUGGGUUUAGAACGUCGUGAGACAGUUCGGUCCCUAUCUGCCGUGGGCGCUGGAGAACUGAGGGGGGCUGCUCCUAGUACGAGAGGACCGGAGUGGACGCAUCACUGGUGUUCGGGUUGUCAUGCCAAUGGCACUGCCCGGUAGCUAAAUGCGGAAGAGAUAAGUGCUGAAAGCAUCUAAGCACGAAACUUGCCCCGAGAUGAGUUCUCCCUGAGACUUAGAGUCUCCUGAAGGAACGUUGAAGACGACGACGUUGAUAGGCCGGGUGUGUAAGCGCAGCGAUGCGUUGAGCUAACCGGUACUAAUGAACCGUGAGGCUUAACCUU
rnacentral:rRNA from 1 species